UAGGGAAUAUUGGACAAUGGGUGAGAGCCUGAUCCAGCCAUGCCGCGUGCAGGAAGAAGGCGUUAUGCGUUGUAAACUGCUUUUUGCCAGGGGAUAAAAAGACCGUGCGCGGUUAAUUGAAGGUACCUGGUGAAUAAGCACCGGCUAACUCUGUGCCAGCAGCCGCGGUAAUACAGAGGGUGCAAGCGUUAAUCGGAAUGACUGGGCGUAAAGGGCGCGUAGGUGGAUGCGUGAGUAAAUUGUGAAAGACCCGGGCUUAACCUGGGAAGGUCAAUUUAAACGGCGUAUCUAGAGUGGAGUAGAGGGAAGUAGAAUUUCCGGUGUAGCGGUGAAAUGCGUAGAUAUCGGAAGGAAUACCGGUGGCGAAGGCGUCUUCCUGGACUCUAACUGACACUGAGGCGCGAAAGCGUGGGGAGCAAACAGGAUUAGAUACCCAGGUAGUCCCUGAGCGGGCUGGCAAGGCGCAU
rnacentral:rRNA from 1 species